rnacentral:rRNA from 1 species
CCUACGGGAGGCAGCAGUGAGGAAUAUUGGUCAAUGGGCGCGAGCCUGAACCAGCCAAGUAGCGUGCAGGAUGACUGCCCUACGGGUUGUAAACUUCUUUUAUACAGGAAUAAAGCGAGGCACGUGUACCUUUUUGUAUGUACUUUAUGAAUAAGGAUCGGCUAACUCCGUGCCAGCAGCCGCGGUAAUACGGAGGAUCCGAGCGUUAUCCGGAUUUAUUGGGUUUAAAGGGAGCGUAGACGGGUUGUUAAGUUAGUUGUGAAAGUUUGGGGCUCAACCGGAAAAUUGCAAUUGAUACUGGCAGCCUUGAGUACAGAUGAGGUAGGCGGAAUUCGUGGUGUAGCGGUGAAAUGCUUAGAUAUCACGAAGAACACCGAUUGCGAAGGCAGCCUACUAAACUGCCACUGACAUUGAUGCUCGAAAGUGUGGGUAUCAAACAGGAUUAGAUACCCUUGUAGUC